AACCCUCGCUGUGUGUUAUAUGUGUCACAUGGGACUGCCGGCCUUAAGCCGGAGGAAGUGGGGAUGAUGUCAAGUCAGCAUGGCCUUUAUGUCCUGGGCUACACACACGCUACAAUGGUCAGCACAAUGGGUCGCUAAGCCGCAAGGUGGAGCCAAUCCUCAAAGUUGGCCUCAGUUCAGAUUGUAGGCUGCAACUCGCCUGCAUGAAGAUGGAGUUGCUAGUAAACGCAGGUCAGCUAUACUGCGUUGAAUACGUUCCCGGGGCUU
rnacentral:rRNA from 1 species